rnacentral:rRNA from 1 species
UACGUAGGGGGCAAGCGUUAUCCGGAUUUACUGGGUGUAAAGGGAGCGUAGACGGCAGCGCAAGUCUGGAGUGAAAUGCCGGGGCCCAACCCCGGAACUGCUCUGGAAACUGUGAAGCUGGAGUGCAGGAGAGGUAAGUGGAAUUCCUAGUGUAGCGGUGAAAUGCGUAGAGAUUAGGAAGAACACCAGUGGCGAAGGCGACUUACUGGACUGUAACUGACGCUGAGGCAUGAGAGCAUGGGGAGCAAACAGG